rnacentral:rRNA from 1 species
AUUGAACGCUGGCGGCAGGCCUAACACAUGCAAGUCGAGCGGAUAAAGGGAGCUUGUUCCUGGAUUCAGCGGCGGACGGGCGAGUAAGGCCUAGGAAGCUGCCUUGUAUUGGGGGAUAACGUCCGUAAACGGGCGCUAAUACCGCAUACGUCCUGAUGGUGAAAGGGGGGGAUCUUCGGACCUCACGCUAUUAGAUGAGCCUAGGUCGGAUUAGCUAGUUGGUGGGGUAAAGGCCUACCAAGGCGACGAUCCGUAACUGGUCUGAGAGGAUGAUCAGGCACACUGGAACUGAGACACGGUCCAGACUCCUACGGGAGGCAGCAGUGGGGAAUAUUGGACAAUGGGCGAAAGCUUGAUGCAGCCAUGCCGCGUGAGUGAAGAAGGUCUUCGGAUUGUAAAGCACUUUAAGUUGGGAGGAAGAAAAGUAAGUUAAUCCCUUGAUGUCUUGACGUUACCAACACAGUAAGCACCGGCUAACUUCGUG